AUUGAACGCUGGCGGCAGGCCUAACACAUGCAAGUCGAACGAGUGGCGGACGGGUGAGUAAUUUCUGGAAAACUGCCCGACGGAUGGGGCUAACUACUGGAAACGGUAGCUAAUACCGCAUACCAUCGGAUGUGCCCAGGUUGGAUUAGCUAGUCGGUGGGGUAACGGCUCACCUAGGCGACGAUCCCUAGCUGGUCUGAGAGGGUGACCAGCCACACUGGGACUGAGACACGGCCCAGACUCCUACGGGAGGCAGCAGUGGGGAAUAUUGGGCAAUGGGCGCAAGUCUGAUGCAGCCACGCCGCGUGAGUGAAGAAGGUCUUCGGAUUGUAAAGUACUUUCGGUGAGGAGGCGUUACUCGCAGAAGAAGCACCGGCUAACUCCGUGCCAGCAGCCGCGGUAAUAC
rnacentral:rRNA from 1 species